rnacentral:rRNA from 1 species
CGGACGGGUGAGUACGCGUGAGAAUCUGCCCUCAGGAGGGGGAUAACGGCUGGAAACGGCCGCUAAUACCCCAUAUGCCGAGAGGUGAAAUGAAUUUCGCCUGGGGAUGAGCUCGCGUCUGAUUAGCUAGUUGGUGGGGUAAAGGCCUACCAAGGCGACGAUCAGUAGCUGGUCUGAGAGGAUGAUCAGCCACACUGGGACUGAGACACGGCCCAGACUCCUACGGGAGGCAGCAGUGGGGAAUUUUCCGCAAUGGGCGAAAGCCUGACGGAGCAACGCCGCGUGAGGGAUGAAGGCCUCUGGGCUGUAAACCUCUUUUAUCAAGGAAGAAGAUCUUGACGGUACUUGAUGAAUAAGCCACGGCUAAUUCCGUGCCAGCAGCCGCGGUAAUACGGGAGUGGCAAGCGUUAUCCGGAAUUAUUGGGCGUAAAGCGUCCGCAGGCGGUUUUGUAAGUCUGUCGUUAAAGCGUGGAGCUUAACUCCAUUUAGGCGGUGGAAACUACAAGACUAGAGUGUGGUAGGGGCAGAGGGAAUUCCCGGUGUAGCGGUGAAAUGGGUAGAUAUCGGGAAGAACACCAGUGGCGAAAGGCGGCUCUGGAUGGGGCCAAUGGUACUGACGCUCAUGCACGAAAAGCGUGGGAGCCAAAGGGGAUUAGAUACCCUGGUAGUCCACGCCCUAACGAUGUCAACUGGUUGUUGGGAGGGUUUCUUCUCAGUAACGUAGCUAACGCGUGAAGUUGACCGCCUGGGGAGUACGGCCGCAAGGUUGAAACUCAAAGGAAUUGACGGGACCCGCACAAGCGGUGGAUGAUGUGGUUUAAUUCGAUGCAACGCGAAAAACCUUACCUACCCUUGACAUGUCUGGAAUCCUGGAGAGAUCUGGGAGUGCUCGAAAGAGAGCCAGAACACAGGUGCUGCAUGGCCGUCGUCAGCUCGUGUCGUGAGAUGUUGGGUUAAGUCCCGCAACGAGCGCAACCCUUGUCAUUAGUUGCUACGAAAGGGCACUCUAAUGAGACUGCCGGUGACAAACCGGAGGAAGGUGGGGAUGACGUCAGGUCAUCAUGGCCCUUAUGGGUAGGGCUACACACGUCAUACAAUGGCCGGGA